GUGGGGAAUAUUGGACAAUGGGCGCAAGCCUGAUCCAGCAAUGCCGCGUGCAGGAAGAAGGCCUUCGGGUUGUAAACUGCUUUUGUACGGAACGAAACGGUCCGGGUUAAUACCCUGGGCUAAUGACGGUACCGUAAGAAUAAGCACCGGCUAACUACGUGCCAGCAGCCGCGGUAAUACGUAGGGUGCAAGCGUUAAUCGGAAUUACUGGGCGUAAAGCGUGCGCAGGCGGUUUUGUAAGACAGGCGUGAAAUCCCCGGGCUCAACCUGGGAAUUGCGCUUGUGACUGCAAGGCUGGAGUGCGGCAGAGGGGGAUGGAAUUCCGCGUGUAGCAGUGAAAUGCGUAGAUAUGCGGAGGAACACCGAUGGCGAAGGCAGCCUCCUGGGAUAACACUGACGCUCAGGCACGAAAGCGUGGGGAGCAAACAGGAUUAGAUACCCGUGUAGUCC
rnacentral:rRNA from 1 species